rnacentral:rRNA from 1 species
AACGAACGCUGGCGGCGUGCUUAACACAUGCAAGUCGAACGCGAACGGGUUCUUCGGAACCUCAGUAGAGUGGCGCACGGGUGAGUAACGCGUAAGUAAUCUACCCUCGCAUUCGGGAUAACCCACCGAAAGGUGUGCUAAUACCGGAUACGUCUAUUUUAAUUCAUUUUUUAUAGAGAAAGGUGGCCUCUGAUUCAAGCUACUGUGCGGGGAUGAGCUUGCGUACCAUUAGCUAGUUGGUAGGGUAACGGCCUACCAAGGCGAUGAUGGUUAGCGGGUCUGAGAGGAUGAUCCGCCACACUGGAACUGGAACACGGACCAGACUCCUACGGGAGGCAGCAGUGAGGAAUAUUGCGCAAUGGGGGAAACCCUGACGCAGCGACGCCGCGUGGAUGAUGAAGGCCUUCGGGUUGUAAAAU